rnacentral:rRNA from 1 species
UACAGAGGUGGCAAGCGUUGUUCGGAAUUACUGGGCGUAAAGGGCGUGUAGGCGGUCUUCUAAGUCAGACGUGAAAUCCCCCGGCUUAACCUGGGAACUGCGUCUGAUACUGGGAGGCUUGAGUAUGGGAGAGGGAUGUAGAAUUCCAGGUGUAGCGGUGAAAUGCGUAGAUAUCUGGAGGAAUACCGGUGGCGAAGGCGGCAUCCUGGACCAUUACUGACGCUUAAGCGCGAAAGCGUGGGGAGCAAACAGG